AUGUGUCAGAGAGGCACAGGGUGGGAUGAGCCACUACCCAAGGACCUGAAGUUAAGGUGGGAGACUUGGAUGAAGGAUUUGGAGAACCUGGAAAGAAUUGAGAUUCCAAGAUGCUUCAUACCUGACAGCCUUGGUGAGAUUCAGAGAGCCGAGCUUCAUCAUUUCUCUGAUGCAAGCAGUCAAGGGUAUGGUCAGUGCUCUUACAUCAGAGUGGUAAGCAGAGAAAGGAUAUGCUGCUCCUUGGUCAUGGGCAAGGCAAGGGUUGCACCAACCAAAAUAGUUACCAUACCCAGACUUGAGUUAACUGCUGCAGUAACCUCGGCAGCUGUGAGUAGCAUGUUAAGGGAGGAGCUGGAGCUCAAGAUUGACGACGAAUAUUUUUGGACAGACUCAAAGGUCGUGCUUGGUUACAUUAAUAAUGAAGCAAGAAGGUUCCAUGUGUUCGUGGCAAACCGCGUUCAGAGAAUUCGAGAAACCACCGAUGCACGGAAAUGGUAUUAUGUUGACACAGGAGAAAACCCUGCUGAUCAUGGCUCGAGAGGCCUCAAAGUAGCUGACCUCAUCAAGUCAAAUUGGUUCUCUGGUCCCAGCUUUCUAUGGGAAAGAGAGAUAGCCACAAAACAGGCUACUUCAGAUUUGCUGGUGGGAGACCCUGAGGUGAGGACUACUCAGGUGUUGAAGGUUGAUGUAGCAAGGCAGUUUGACAUCCAGAAGCAUCUGCUGCGGUUCUCAAGAUGGACUACAGCUGUCAACGUCAUUGCUCGUAUCCAGCGGCUGGCAAAGAGGAUCAGGACCGCUGAGCCUUUAAACGUGGAAGAGAGAAAACAAGCUGCACAGACUCUCGUCAAGCUUGCACAACAAGAUGCCUUUCAAGAGGAGUUAAACGCACUCAGCCAGAAACCAGGAAGGCUGCCUUGCAACCACCAACUCUUUCAGCUUGACCCAUUCCUCCAAGAUGGCAUAAUGAGAGUAGGAGGAAGACUGAGGAAGGCAUCUGUGCCUCUCGAGUUAAGACACCCAGUGAUCCUUCCUAAAGAUGGUGCUGUUACAAACCUCAUCAUUGCACACCAUCAUACUAAGAUACAACACCAAGGCAGAGGACAAACCCUCAAUGCACUGAGAGCCAAUGGUUACUGGAUCGCUGGUAGAAGUAAGGCUGUAGCCCAAUACAUCAGGCAGUGCGUACAGUGCAGGAGAGCCCGCGCGCAACCAGAGGAGCAACGGAUGGCAGAUCUACCUAGUGACCGUGUUGAUCCCACACCACCAUUCACUUAUUGUGGUAUGGACUGCUUUGGUCCUUUUCACACCAAACAAGGUCGCAAGGAUCAAAAACGGUAUGGCCUCCUCUUCACAUGUCUUUGCUCAACGGCAGUGCAUAUAGAGAUGUUGGAGGAUUUGACGACUGACGCGUUCAUCAAUGCUUUGCGCUGCUUUAUUGCCCUUCGUGGAGCUGUUAGGCACAUUAGGUCCGAUCAGGGAACUAACUUUAUGGGGGCAAGAAAUGAGAUGGCAAAGGCUCUGAAAGAACUUGAUAAGGAAAGAGUGACUGCAUACCUAGCAGAAAAUCAGUGCGACUUCCAGAUGAAUACGCCCCACUCUAGUCAUGCUGGAGGUGCAUGGGAGCGUCAAAUCCAGACAGUGAGAAGUGUACUGAGCAUGGUCCUUGCCUGCAGUGUGGGAAGGUUGGAUGAUGCUUCAUUAAGGACAUUCCUUUAUGAAGCUAUGUGCAUCGUGAAUAACCGCCCACUCACUGUUGAUAACAUGAACGACCCCAAAAGCUUGGAGCCACUCACACCAAACCACUUGAUCACCAUGAAAUCCUCAAUCCCACUUCCACCUCCAGGUAAAUUUGUCAAGGAGGAGCUGUACGCCAAGAAACGGUGGAGAAGGGUCCAGUAUCUGACCGAGCAAUUUUGGCACAGAUGGAGAAAGGAAUACCUGGCCAAUAUUGCUCUGAGACAGCGAUGGCAUACACCAAGACGUAAUGUGGAGGUGGGUGACAUUGUGAUUCUCAAGGAGGAAGAUGUUCCUCGCAAUGAAUGGAAACUCGCUAGGGUUGUGGAAGCACAUGAGGAUGAUGAUGGACUUGUACGGAAGGUGACAAUCCAGACUGGUGAUCGGAAGUUAGGAAAGGGAGGCAAACGCCUCGUCCAACCCUCAAUCAUUCAAAGACCCAUUCAGAAAUUAGUGGUCCUGGUGAAAAACAGCUAA
ensembl:lncRNA